UCACAGCCAGUGGGAAUCUACAAGAAGCCAGGAGAGAAAACAGAAAUCAUCUCCGUUUGAAGUCUCACACAGCAGGAUGGCUGUGUGGUGCAGUUGAAUCUUAAAACUCACACCCCAUUUCAUGAACUAAUGAGACCUGUUCUGAAUAAUGAGUCAGGUUUAUCAGUGAGGCAGAUAGAAUUCUCAUUUGAUGAGCAGCCAAUUGGUGAAAAAGGGAUUCCUAAACAAUUAGAAAUGGAGAAAGAUGAUACCACGGAAGCAAUUCAUUCACUAGUUACUUUCU
rnacentral:lncRNA from 1 species